rnacentral:lncRNA from 1 species
ACCUAACAUUUAACAUAAUUAGAUUCACAUAAUCAAGGUGAUUUUAUUUCCAUUUUGGAAGAGAGAAAUAAAGAAAACAUUGAUUAUGGUGAAAAAGUUUACUGGAGAGCUUGAACAAGAGAUAAAUCAAUUUUAAAUUAGUGGAAAACUGUUGAUUUGUAUGUAAAGAAGACAAGUUUAAAUAAAGACAAGCUAGCUAAUGAAACAGAUGCAGUGUUACAGAUAUGACAAACAUCUAGAAGAUGGAAUCCUGCGCUCUUAAA